rnacentral:rRNA from 1 species
AGAGUUUGAUCAUGGCUCAGAACGAACGUUGGCGGCGUGGAUUAGGCAUGCAAGUCGAACGAAUCCCUUGGGGGUAACUCUGAGGGGGAAGUGGCGAAAGGGGCAGUAAGGCGUGGGUAACCUACCCCCGGGGACUGGGAUAGCCUUCCUAACGGAUGGGUAAUACCAGGCGAUUUGACGAGGGGGCAUCUCCUUGUCAGGAAAUGAAUUUCGCCUCGGGAGGGGCUCACGUGAUAUUAGCUUGUUGGCGGGGUAACGGCCCACCAAGGCGAAGAUGUCUAGCGGGUGUGAGAGCACGACCCGCGCCACUGGCACUGAGACACUGGCCAGACACCUACGGGUGGCUGCAGUCGAGGAUCUUCGGCAAUGGGCGCAAGCCUGACCGAGCGACGCCGCGUGUGCGAUGAAGGCCUUCGGGUUGUAAAGCACUGUCGAGGGGGAGGAAGGCGAAAGCUUGACCUAUCCCUGGAGGAAGCACGGGCUAAGUUCGUGCCAGCAGCCGCGGUAAGACGAACCGUGCGAACGUUGUUCGGAAUCACUGGGCUUAAAGGGCGCGUAGGCGGGCAAGCAAGUCCGGGGUGAAAGCCCCCAGCUUAACUGGGGAAGUGCCUUGGAAACUGCCUGUCUCGAGGGAGGUAGGGGCCUGUGGAACUUCGGGUGGAGCGGUGAAAUGCGUUGAUAUCCGAAGGAACGCCGGUGGCGAAAGCGACGGGCUGGACCUCUUCUGACGCUGAGGCGCGAAAGCCAGGGGAGCAAACGGGAUUAGAUACCCCAGUAGUCC